rnacentral:rRNA from 1 species
AUUGAACGCUGGCGGCAGGCCUAACACAUGCAAGUCGAACGGUAACAGGAAGAAGCUUGCUUCUUUGCUGACGAGUGGCGGACGGGUGAGUAAUGUCUGGGAAACUGCCUGAUGGAGGGGGAUAACUACUGGAAACGGUAGCUAAUACCGCAUAACGUCGCAAGACCAAAGAGGGGGACCUUCGGGCCUCUUGCCAUCGGAUGUGCCCAGAUGGGAUUAGCUAGUAGGUGGGGUAACGGCUCACCUAGGCGACGAUCCCUAGCUGGUCUGAGAGGAUGACCAGCCACACUGGAACUGAGACACGGUCCAGACUCCUACGGGAGGCAGCAGUGGGGAAUAUUGCACAAUGGGCGCAAGCCUGAUGCAGCCAUGCCGCGUGUAUGAAGAAGGCCUUCGGGUUGUAAAGUACUUUCAGCGGGGAGGAGGGGAGUAAAGUUAAUACCUUUGCUCAUUGACGUUACCCGCAGAAGAAGCACCGGCUAACUCCGUG